GAUGAACGCUGGCGGCGUGCCUAAUACAUGCAAGUCGAGCGAACAGACGAGGAGCUUGCUCCUCUGACGUUAGCGGCGGACGGGUGAGUAACACGUGGAUAACCUACCUAUAAGACUGGGAUAACUUCGGGAAACCGGAGCUAAUACCGGAUAAUAUAUUGAACCGCAUGGUUCAAUAGUGAAAGACGGUUUUGCUGUCACUUAUAGAUGGAUCCGCGCCGCAUUAGCUAGUUGGUAAGGUAACGGCUUACCAAGGCGACGAUGCGUAGCCGACCUGAGAGGGUGAUCGGCCACACUGGAGCUGAGACACGGUCCAGACUCCUACGGGAGGCAGCAGUAGGGAAUCUUCCGCAAUGGGCGAAAGCCUGACGGAGCAACGCCGCGUGAGUGAUGAAGGUCUUCGGAUCGUAAAACUCUGUUAUUAGGGAAGAACAAAUGUGUAAGUAACUAUGCACGGCUUGACGGUACCUAAUCAGAAAGCCACGGCUAACUACGUG
rnacentral:rRNA from 1 species